rnacentral:rRNA from 1 species
GAUGAACGCUGGCGGCGUGCUUAACACAUGCAAGUCGAACGGAAAGGCCCAAGCUUGCUUGGGUACUCGAGUGGCGAACGGGUGAGUAACACGUGGGUGAUCUGCCCCGCACUUCGGGAUAAGCCUGGGAAACUGGGUCUAAUACCGGAUAGGACCACUUCUUGGAGGUUGUGGUGGAAAGUUUUUUCGGUGUGGGAUGAGCUCGCGGCCUAUCAGCUUGUUGGUGGGGUGAUGGCCUACCAAGGCGUCGACGGGUAGCCGGCCUGAGAGGGUGUACGGCCACAUUGGGACUGAGAUACGGCCCAGACUCCUACGGGAGGCAGCAGGGGGGAAUAUUGCACAAUGGGCGCAAGCCUGAUGCAGCGACGCCGCGUGGGGGAUGACGGCCUUCGGGUUGUAAACGCCUUUCGCUAGGGACGAAGCGCAAGUGACGGUACCUAGAGAAGAAGCACCGGCUAACUACGUG